rnacentral:rRNA from 1 species
AGUGAACGCUGGCGGCAGGCCUAACACAUGCAAGUCGAACGGCAGCACAGGGGAGCUUGCUCCCUGGGUGGCGAGUGGCGGACGGGUGAGGAAUACAUCGGAAUCUACCCUUUCGUGGGGGAUAACGUAGGGAAACUUACGCUAAUACCGCAUACGAUCUGAGGAUGAAAGCAGGGGACCGCAAGGCCUUGCGCGAUUGGAUGAGCCGAUGUCCGAUUAGCUAGUUGGCGGGGUAAAGGCCCACCAAGGCGACGAUCGGUAGCUGGUCUGAGAGGAUGAUAAGCCACACUGGAACUGAGACACGGUCCAGACUCCUACGGGAGGCAGCAGUGGGGAAUAUUGGACAAUGGGCGCAAGCCUGAUCCAGCCAUGCCGCGUGUGUGAAGAAGGCCUUCGGGUUGUAAGCACUUUUGUUGGGAAAGAAAUCCUGUCGGCUAAUACCCGGCGGGGAUGACGGUACCCAAAGAAUAAGCACCGGCUAACUUCGUGCCAGCAGCCGCCGUAA